rfam:Hypholoma sublateritium FD-334 SS-4 unplaced genomic scaffold scaffold_33, whole genome shotgun sequence.
UCUCUUGUGCUCGGGCAUGUACUGUUGCUAGUGAGGUUUCUACCGAAGCGCAGUUUUUUUGCUGAUUGCAAAUUAUACAUCCGAACCCGUCUGUUAGCUUCGGCUCUCAGCAAUUUUUGGGAACCUUUUGCAGC